UAAGAGGGGGUGGGGGGAGAAGCAUUUAACUACCAAAGCAAAAACCUUUAAAAAAUAACCAUCUAUUUUGGUUGCACAGGGGGAGAAGAUGUUUAAAAGUAUCUACAAUGUAAUAAUUCUUAUACUGUGAUGAUUUAUUUUCUCCCUUUUACACAACUAUCAAAUCCAGUGGAGGCAGCUGACAUAUGAAAAUGGGUAGGCAAAGUUGGCCCACAAAGGUGUCCUCAAGGCCAGCAGUGGGUAAUGAUCAUACUAUAAUGGAAUCAAAAUAGGGUAGGCAAAACAGGAUAGACUGUGACUGUCCUGGUAAGAAGAUUCCAUUGGUCAAAUCUAUCCCCAGGACAGUGUUCAUGUUAACUAAAGAUGAGUUUUAGAUGCAAAAGGCAGACCCUAACUUGUUUCAGAUUUAGGAAUGUUGACAUGCUGGCUUUUGAUUCAGCCAGUUACAAGGAUAGGAGUCUGCUUUAAAAUUUUGGAUCCAUAUAUAGAUGCAAAUGUCCUCAAAAUUUGGCAUGUUUGGAGUCAAGUUUAAUUUCAUUUCCAUCUCCAGUGAAAACAGGGAGAAACUGCUUCCACAGACAUCCAUCUCUUUUAUACUGUUUUAAAAUCUAACCUAAGUUUGGGGAUAUCUUCCCACUGCCUGGAUUAUAAAAUCACGAAUUCUGAAUACAUGAAUAACUGCCACCAGGCUCAGUAGCCUGGUGGUGAGAUAUUGCCUGAUAUUGAGGAGCAGUGUCUGGUUUCCUGUUUACUAGAUGGUAGAAAAUGAAGGAAGAGUUCGUGAAGUUGGAAGCUGCAUCCGCAGGGGAGUAAUGCUGAUCUAUUGGCUCUUUAGAUUGUAAUGGUCAAUCUGUGUAGCUACCAGGGCUGGCUCCAGGCACCAGGGCAGCAAGCAGGUGCUCGGGGCAGCCAACGGAAAGGGGUGGCACGUCCAGCUCUUCGGCGGCAGCAGUAGAGCUGCCGCUGAAGUGCCACCAAUUGCAAAAACGCUGGAGCCGGCCCUGGUAGCUACAAUAACAAUCAAAGAAGAGAGGUUCACAAGCUAUGAAUUGGGACCUCCAAGAGAUGAGGGGAAAGUCAGCUGAAAUUGUCUAGGAGGAGGUGAAUGAGUUCCCAGUCCCUGUCUUCCUCUGAAGUCAGAUUUUUCUAAGCCACUUAAAUCUGGGUCCUCCUCAGAUUUUACCACCCUGAGUCUCACAGGGUGGCCUACUUUGAAGGCCCCAGAGAGGAUACUCAGAUGAGUCUGGGGAGGAGAAGUUGUGUGGGUGUAAUCCAUGCCUGCUUGGUGUGGUAAUCUGUCCCCCUCUAGUGGCAGCUAGCCCAAAGAGGAAUUGAUGAGUCUGCUACAGCCUUGGCUAUUAGCCACGUAGCUUUUAGCUCAUUCAGCAGAGGUUCAUACACUAAAGUUAGGAGUCCCAGGUUCAAUCCUGCCCACAAAUUACUUGGGUCUGUUGGCAUUACACCUGGAAGAUGAAGAAAAGUAGCCCAUUGCAGAAUGAAGUCUUGGGCCUGUGAGCCAAAUAGAAUUAAAGAAACUAGUUCUUCAUUUUUCAAGCAUUCAUUGGAUUUGUACCUGUCAUACCUCACAAGGGUUCUGAGACUCAUUUUUCUCUGUACUCAUUUUAUCUCUCUUUGCCUCUAUUUCCCCAUCUAUAAAAUCCCACCUCGCAGGGAGUAGGUUGUCUUAAUUAUUUGUUUGUAAAGUAUUUUGAAUGUCAAAAAGUUCUGUAUUAAUUCUAAAGCCCAGCUCAUCCCACUGUUAUCUAUUCAAGGACUGGACCCAAACAGGUCUCCAUGGAUGGGGGGAACUCAAGUGGUUCGAUAGCACUGUCCAUCCCCAGGACCAUCAGAAGAUGCUUUGUAGGACCAGGAUCCAUGCAGGGGGGAGGCAGGCUAGGGGAGGAGUUGGUGGCUCAUGACUGUGGUGACACCAAUCAUCUCGUCUGACCUUAUGGAGAUUUCCAAAAAAGUAAACCCUCUUGCCAGAUGCUGAGCUGAUGUUGAAAUCAGUGGGAAAUGCAGGUGCUGAGCACCUCUCAGGAUCAGACCCUGUACACUGAGGCAUGAAUGCAAUUGGAAAAAAGGACCUAGAAACAGCUUUCCCAUAAUCCUUUGCAAAUCUAUGAGGCCUAUUUUUUGGGAACAGGCUUAGCUAAUAAUCAAAGAGAACCUACUCGACUUCUGUAGUGCAGAGAGAGCCACUUGGAUGCUUUGUUAAUUCCUCAAAAGACAUCAAGAAAAAGUUUGGUGCCCAGCCUUCAAGUCACAUCUGCUUGCGCUGUACUUUUCAUUAUGCUGUAUUCACAGUCUCUGGUUUGUCUGGCUUUUUUUUUGGUCUGUCAAAUUACUACUGGCUUAUGGAAAUCAAUAAACAUAAUUUUAAAAUCUUCA